GAGUUUGAUCCUGGCUCAGAUUGAACGCUGGCGGCAUGCUUUACACAUGCAAGUCGGACGGCAGCACAGAGAAGCUUGCUUCUUGGGUGGCGAGUGGCGAACGGGUGAGUAACAUAUCGGAACGUACCGAGUAGUGGGGGAUAACUGAUCGAAAGAUCAGCUAAUACCGCAUACGUCUUGAGAGGGAAAGCAGGGGACCUUCGGGCCUUGCGCUAUUCGAGCGGCCGAUAUCUGAUUAGCUAGUUGGUGGGGUAAAGGCCUACCAAGGCGACGAUCAGUAGCGGGUCUGAGAGGAUGAUCCGCCACACUGGGACUGAGACACGGCCCAGACUCCUACGGGAGGCAGCAGUGGGGAAUUUUGGACAAUGGGCGCAAGCCUGAUCCAGCCAUGCCGCGUGUCUGAAGAAGGCCUUCGGGUUGUAAAGGACUUUUGUCAGGGAAGAAAAGGCUGUUGCUAAUAUCAGCGGCUGAUGACGGUACCUGAAGAAUAAGCACCGGCUAACUACGUGCCAGCAGCCGCGGUAAUACGUAGGGUGCGAGCGUUAAUCGGAAUUACUGGGCGUAAAGCGGGCGCAGACGGUUACUUAAGCAGGAUGUGAAAUCCCCGGGCUCAACCCGGGAACUGCGUUCUGAACUGGGUGACUCGAGUGUGUCAGAGGGAGGUAGAAUUCCACGUGUAGCAGUGAAAUGCGUAGAGAUGUGGAGGAAUACCGAUGGCGAAGGCAGCCUCCUGGGACAACACUGACGUUCAUGCCCGAAAGCGUGGGUAGCAAACAGGAUUAGAUACCCUGGUAGUCCACGCCCUAAACGAUGUCAAUUAGCUGUUGGGCAACUUGAUUGCUUAGUAGGUAGCUAACGCGUGAAAUUGACCGCCUGGGGAGUACGGUCGCAAGAUUAAAACUCAAAGGAAUUGACGGGGACCCGCACAAGCGGUGGAUGAUGUGGAUUAAUUCGAUGCAACGCGAAGAACCUUACCUGGUCUUGACAUGUACGGAAUCCUCCAGAGACGGAGGAGUGCCUUCGGGAGCCGUAACACAGGUGCUGCAUGGCUGUCGUCAGCUCGUGUCGUGAGAUGUUGGGUUAAGUCCCGCAACGAGCGCAACCCUUGUCAUUAGUUGCCAUCAUUCAGUUGGGCACUCUAAUGAGACUGCCGGUGACAAGCCGGAGGAAGGUGGGGAUGACGUCAAGUCCUCAUGGCCCUUAUGACCAGGGCUUCACACGUCAUACAAUGGUCGGUACAGAGGGUAGCCAAGCCGCGAGGCGGAGCCAAUCUCACAAAACCGAUCGUAGUCCGGAUUGCACUCUGCAACUCGAGUGCAUGAAGUCGGAAUCGCUAGUAAUCGCAGGUCAGCAUACUGCGGUGAAUACGUUCCCGGGUCUUGUACACACCGCCCGUCACACCAUGGGAGUGGGGGAUACCAGAAGUAGGUAGGGUAACCGCAAGGAGUCCGCUUACCACGGUAUGCUUCAUGACUGGGGUGAAGUCGUAACAAGGUAGCCGUAGGGGAACCUGCGGCUGGAUCACC
rnacentral:rRNA from 1 species